rnacentral:lncRNA from 1 species
AGAUAGGGCCUUACUCUAACUCAGGCUGGAGUGCAGUGGCCAGAUUAUGGCUCACUGCGGCCUUGGCCUCAACCUCCCAGGUUCAAGUAAUCCUUCCACCUCAGCCUCCCGAGUAGCUGGGACUACAGGUGUGCCACCACCCCUGGCUAAUUUAAAAAUUUUUUUUGUAGACAUGGGGGCUUUAUAUGUUGUCCAGGCUGGUCUUGAACUCCUGAACUCAAGUGAUACUCCCGCCUUGGCCCCCCAAAAUCCUGGGAUUACAGAGGUGAACCACCGUGCUCAGCUUGGUGGACCAUUUUAAAGCAAAUCCCAAAUGUCAUUUAUCCUGUAUAUUCUUUUGAAGGACAAAAACAGUGUCUUGUUCUGUCUUCUACGUAGGCCUCAGCCUCCUGAGUAGCUGGGAUUACAGGCACCUGCCACCAUACCCAGCUAAUUUUGUAUUUUUAGUAGAGACGGAGUUUCACCAUGUUGGUCAGGCUGGUCUCGAACUUCUGACCUCAAGUUAUCCUCCCCACUCGACCUCCCAAAGUGCUGAGAAUACAGGCAUGAGCCACCACAUCCGGCCACUUUUUGUCGUAUUUUAGAGUGUACUCCUACUUAAAUAAAAAAAUCUUCCUGCCUCAGCCUCCCAAAAUGUUGGGAUUACAGGGAUGAGCCACUGCACCUGGCCUCUCUUUUUGUUGGAUCAUUUUCAUCAGCAUACAGGCUCAAAACUUCAUCCUCGGCCAGGCGUGAUGGCUCACGCCUGUAAUCCCAGCACUUUGGGAGGCCAAGAUGGGUAGAUCAUUUGAUGCCAGGAGUUCGAGACCAGCCUGACCAACAUGGCGAAACCUCAUCUUUACUAAAAAUGCAAAAAUUAGCUGGGCGUGGUGACGCAUGCCUGUAAUCCCAGCUAAUCAGGAGACUGAGGCAGGAGAAUUGCUUGAGCCUGGGAGGCAGACAUUGCAGUGAGCCGAGAUUGCGCCUGCGAACUCUGGCCUGGGCAACAGAGGGAGACUUUGUCUCAAAAAACAAACAAAUCACCCUCUAGCUACUGCCUCAUUUGCCAUUUGUGUACUUCCUUUUAUGGCAAAAACUCCUUGAAAGUGUUAUCUGUACUUUUUGUCUCUCCUUCUUCUUCUUUUAGCGUUACUUUGAAAUAACUGAAAAUUUACAGAAAAGUUGGAACAAUAUUUGAAAGAAUUUCAAUAUAUACCCUUCUCCUAGAUUCUCCAUUUUUUUUUUCUUUUUGAGAUGGAGUCUUGCUUUGUUGCCCAGGCUGGAGUGCAGUGGUGCGAUUUUGGCUCACUGCAAGCUCUGCCUCCCGGGUUCACGUCAUUCUCCUGUCUCAGCCUCCCAAAGUAGCUGGGACUACAGUUGCCCACCACCAUGCCCGGCUAUUUUUUUGUAUUUUUAGUGGAGACGGGGUUUCACCGUGUUAGCCAGGACGGUCUCAAUCUCCUGACCUCGUGAUCCGCCCGCCUCGGCACUCGAAGUGCUGGGAUUACAGGCCUGAGCCACCGCACCUGGCUGGAUUCUUCAGUUUUUAAAUGCAUAUUUAUGUUAUUCUGAUAAUGACAGAUCUCCUAAACUAUCAUUCUGAGAAUAACAUAAAUGCACAUUUGAAAACUGGAGAAUUCUGGGUGAAGAGGAUACAGGAAUUCUUUCAGAUAUUUUUUCUGGGUCCAUUUAGGAGUAAGUUGCAGAUAUGUCCUUUUACUUUGACAUAUUUUAGUGUGUAUUUCCUUAAAAACAAGGACAUUCUCUUACAUAAUCAUACUCUAUCAUCAUGAUCAGAGAAUUAAUAUUGGUACAAUAAAUUAUUUAACCUACAGAUCUUUUUUAAGUUUUGCCAUCAGUUCUCCUAAAGGCAUCCAUUAUAACAACAACAACAACAACAACAUUUCUAGUCCAGGAUUUAAUGCAGGAUCACAUGUUGCAUUUAGUUGUUUUUUUUGUUGUUGUUUGUUUUGCCUUGUUUUUUUUUUUUUGAGACAAUCUCAGUCUGUUGCCUAGGCUGGAGUGCCGUGGCAUGAUCUUGGCUCACUGGAACCUCCGCCCCCUGGGUUUAAGCGAUUCUCCUGCCUCAGCCUCCCAAGUAGCUGGGAUUACAAGCGCCUGCUACCAUGCCUGGCUAAUUUUUUUUCUUUUUUUUUUUUUAGUAGCGAUGGGGUUUCGCCAUGUUGGCCAGGCUGGUCUCGAACUCCUGACCUCAGAUCAUCCACCCGCGUUGUCCUCCCGAAGUGCUGGCGUGAGCCACCGCGCCCAGCUUGCUUUUAGUUAUAAUGUCUCUUUAGUAUUCUUUAAUCUGAAAUAGUUCUUCAGCCUUUGUCUUAUGAUCUUGAUAUUUUUAAAGAGUACAGAAUAGUUAUUUCGUAGGAUGCCCCUCAGGUUAGGAUCUAAUCAUGAGGAAACAGCAGACAAAUUAAACUGGAGAUUUGUGCGUUUUCAGCAAGAAUACUGCAGAAGUCGUCCAGGUGCAGUGGCUCAUGCCUGUUAUCCCAGCAUGAGAUUCAGAGGCUUAGUGGGAGGCCGAAGUGGGAGGAUCACUGAGUGCAGGAGUUCAAGACUAGCUUGGGCAACAUGGCAAGACCCUAUCUCUACAAAAAAAAAAAAAAAAAACCUUGCAGAAAUGAUGUGUCAUUCUUGGUGCAUCACAUCAGGAGCACGUAUUCUAGGUUAAGCAGGUCUCUGCCAGAUUUCUUCACUGUUAUAAAGGUAUGAUUUUUUUUUUUUCCAUUUGUAGUUAAGUGUCUUGGGGGGAGAUAAUGUGAAUGUCUUAGGUCUUGUCAACCUUUCACCCACUCAUUUUAACAUCUAUUAAAGGUUCUUCCCUGAAUGAAUUAUUACUAUGAUGGUUGUUCCGUUGAACUCAUUACAUUCAGGCUUUUAGCCUAAAUGCUGCCGAAACAACCCUUUGCUGGGUGAAAUGGUAACUCUUGAAGAUCACUGGUGUCCAUCAAGACAUUAAGUUCAAAGGUCAAUUUGGGUCAUCAUAUUUGACUUAUCGCUACCAUUUGAUACAGUUAAUUAUACUUUCCUAUUUAAAAAACUGUCUUCACUUGACUUCUGGGAUAUCUCUCCCCUGUCUUUUUGUUUUUGUUUGUUUGUUUCAUUGAGACAGGGUCUCGCUGUGUUGCCCAGGCUGGAGUGCAGUGGCGCGAUCAUAGCUUACUGCAUCCUUGAUCUUCCAGGCUGAGGCAGUCCGCCCUGCUCAGCCUUCUGGGUAGCUGGGACCACAGGUGUGUGCCCCCACACCCAGCUAAUCUGUUUGAUUUUUAGUAGAAACAAGGUCUCGCUAUGUUGCUGAGGCUGGUCUUGAACUCUUGAGCUCAAGCAGUCUUCCCACUUUAGCCUCCUAAAGUACUGGGAUUAUAGGCGUUAGUCACCCUCCCAGCCCCUCUCCUCUCCUCUCGAUUCUCCUGUUAUCACACUGGUUACUCCUUUCCAGUAAAGACUGAUCCCUCCUCACCUCUGUGACCUCUGAAGGUUUGAGUGCCUACAACCCAGGCCUUGCACUGUUUCUCUUCUCUUUACUCUUAUUCCCUUGGUGAACUGAUCCAGUCUCAAGGCCCACACCUCUUGAGUUUACAUCUCCAGCCAGAAGUUCUCUUCACACUUGUCUAGCCGGUGCCUAUUUGGCAUCUCCGUUUUCAUGUUAAAUACACAUCACAGAUUGAACAGAUCUGAAACUGAGCUCCCUAUUGUCACCCCAAAACCUGCUCCUCCUGCAUUAGUUCCCUUCUCGGUGAAUGGCAGCUUCAUCUUUCUAGUUGUUCAGCAAAAAACCUUGGCAUUAUCUUGGACCCUUCUUUUUAUUUUCCACCCAUAUCCAGUUUGACGGCACAUCCCGUUGGCUCUACCUUCACAGUACUUCCUGAUUUUGACUGCUUUGUAUCGCCACAGUUACCACAUUCUUCAAGCUGCAUCAUCAUUUGUCUGGAAUAUUACAGUAACCUUCUACCUCAUCUGUUUGCUUCUGCCUUCUCAACAAGACAACACAAAUGCUGUUGAUUAAAAACAAAGCAAAACAAAAAGCAAACCAGAAGUCAGAUAUUGUCACUCCUGUGCGCAAUUUCUCUCUCCCCCUCGUGGCUUUUAUCUUACUCAGGGUGAAAGUCGGUAAUCACCUAUAUGUCUCUGCACAGUCUGGUCCCACUCCCUUAACCUUCAUCAUUGGUUACUCCUCUCCACCUUGCUCACUUUUCUCCAUCAACAAUUUGUCUCCUUGUUGUUCUUUGGAAAUAACGAAGUAUGCUCUCAUCUCAUAGUCUUCGCUCUUUUUAUUUUUCUUUUUUGAGACAGGAUGUUGCUUUGCUGUUCAGGCUGGAGUGUAGUGGUGGCGAUCAUGGCUCACUGCAGUCUUGACCUCCCGGGGUCAAGCAGCCCUCCCACCUUAGCCUCCCAAGUAGCUGUGACCACAGGUGCCCUCCACCAUGUUCGGCUAAUUUUUAAAAAUUCUUUGUGGAGAAUGGGGGUCUCCCUCGGUUGCACAGGCUGAUCUUGACCUCCUGGGCUCAAGCCAUCCUCCUGCCUUGGCCUCCCAGUGUUGGGAUUACAGUCAUGAGCCCCUUGCCCAGCCUGUUUUUUUUUUUUUUCUUUUCCUGGAACACUCUUUUUUUUAUGGUUAUCAGUAUGCCUUUUUAUAAAAACAGCUUUACUGCGGGGGUUCAUGGUGGUUCACUCCUGUAAUCCCAGCACUUUCGGAGGCCAAGGUGGGCGGAUCACCUGAGGUCAGGAGUUGGAGACCAGCCUGACCAAUAUGGUGAAACCACACCACCACGUCUGGCUAAUUUUUGUAUUUUUAGUAGAUUUUUAGAUGUUUAGUUUCGCCACGUUGGCAAGGCUGUUCUCAAACUCCUAACCUCAAAUGAUCUGCCCACCUUGGCCUCCCCAAGUGCUGGGAUUACAGGCGUGAAUCACUGCCCCCUGCCAGAUUUUUUUUUUUUUUUUUUUUUUUUUUAAGAGAGAGGGUCUCACUCUUUUGCCCAGGCUGGAGUAUAGUAGUGUGUUCAUAGCUCACUGCAGCCUUGAACGCCUGGAUUCAAGCGAUCCUUCUGCCUCAGCCUCCCGAGUAGCUGGGACUGCAGGUGCAUGCCAUUGCACCUGGCUAAUUUUUAAAAAUUUUUGUAGAGAUGGUGUCUCUCUGUGUUGCCCAGGCUGGUAUGGAACUCCUGGCCUCAAGUGAUUCGCCUGCCUUGGUUUCCCAGAAUUUUGGGAUUAUAGGCCACCGUGCCUGGCCAAAACAGCUUUAUUGAGAAAUAAUUCACAAACCAUACAAUUUAGCCAUUUUAUUUAUUUAUUUUUUCCAGACGGAGUCUCACUCUGUUGCCGAGGCUGGAGUGCAGUGGCGUGAUCUCGGCUCACUGCGACCUCUGCCUCCCGGGUUCAAGCGAUUCUCCUGCCUCAGCCUCCCUAGUAGUUGGGAUUACGGGCGCCCGCCACCAUGUCCGGCUAAUUUUUGUAUUUUUCAGUAGAGACGGGUUUUCAUCAUGUUGGCCAGGCUGGUCUCAAACUCCUGACCUCGUGAUCCACCCGCUUCGGCUGCCCAAAGUGCUGGAAUUACAGGCAUGAGCCACGGUGCCUGGCCUUUUAUUUUUUUCGAAAUGGAGUCUCACAUUGUCACCCAGGCUGGAGUACAGUGGUGCAAUCUUGGCAAACUGCAAUUUCUGCAUCCUGGGUUCAAGCGAUUCUCCCGGGUUCAAGCGAUUCUCCCGGGUUCAAGCGAUUCUCUCAGGUUCAAGCGAUUCUCCUUCCUUAGCCUCCCGAGUAGCUGGGAUUACAGGCGCCCACCACCACGCCUGGCUAAUUUUUGUAUUUUUAGUAGAGCCGGGGUUUCACCAUGUUGGCCAGGCUGGUCUUGAACUCCUGACCUCAUGAUCCACCUGCCUCGGCCCCCCAAAGUGCUGGCAUUACAGGCGUAAGCCACCGCGCCCGG